rnacentral:lncRNA from 1 species
GAAACUUUGUAAGAGGCUGUGGGACGUGAGUACACUCCAAGAAAAAAUAAUUGAAGUCAAUUACACACAGCAAAAAAUGUACAGCAUUGGAAAGCAAUGCAGUGACAGAACAAGGAUGUACAGAUCCACAUUCCCCAUCAACCUCACAGAUGGUCCAUCUGUAAGUUGUCACCAGCCUCAUGGGCAACAGUUGUAAGUAACUCUGAAGCCUAGGACUGUAUAUCACAAGACCUUCCUUCAACACAAGCAGGAAAUCAUGACUGAAAUAAACACGUUUUAUCUCAGUAUUAUUUCCCCUGGGUAACUCAAUUCUCAUUUAUCUCCUACAAUAGCAGCUUUUAAUAACCAGGGAGUGCUCGUGUGCAUACAUACACAAACAGCACAGACAGGUUUAUUUGCAGCUCUUUUUUCUUUUUGGUAGCAAUCGAUGUUAUUUCAGGCCAGUUUGAACACUUUCUGCCUAUUAACUUCAGCUAUUCUGAUUUUGCUCACAGCAACGAUAUGGUCAUUAUAUUAACAACAGCGUGGGGGCAGCUGGGUUCAGGUUCUAUUCAGCAGAGCAACAAGGGGGCACUGGCAUUCACAGACGCAGCACUAAAUCUAAAUAUGCAAGGAAUAACAUUAGCCUUUUACAAGGAAGCCUUCAGCAAAAGAUGUGCUUCAGGGAAAAGUUUGCUGUCACUGCAAAAAAAUAUCUAAAAGAAGAACAUUGCCUGGGACCAGUAUAAAGCCUGGAAACACGACUGCAACCAUCUCUGUUUGGAAGCUUUUCAUAUGCUUGUAUGGAUAUGAGAGAAGACACCAGUAUUCAGAUCUUUUUUCCUUUCAUGUUUCAGUCUGACCUUUUCAUCCUAUGCUGAUCAAUUGUAACAGCUGAACAUACUUCCAUCACUACAACAGUUAGAAUUGGUUUGCAGCAACAAUACCUGCUUCAAUAAAUUUCUGAAAGCA